GACGAACGCUGGCGGCGUGCUUAACACAUGCAAGUCGAACGGAAGGGCCCUGCUUUUGUGGGGUGCUCGAGUGGCGAACGGGUGAGUAACACGUGAGUAACCUGCCCUUGACUUUGGGAUAACUUCAGGAAACUGGGGCUAAUACCGGAUAGGAGCUCCUGCUGCAUGGUGGGGGUUGGAAAGUUUCGGCGGUUGGGGAUGGACUCGCGGCUUAUCAGCUUGUUGGUGGGGUAGUGGCUUACCAAGGCUUUGACGGGUAGCCGGCCUGAGAGGGUGACCGGCCACAUUGGGACUGAGAUACGGCCCAGACUCCUACGGGAGGCAGCAGUGGGGAAUAUUGCACAAUGGGCGGAAGCCUGAUGCAGCAACGCCGCGUGCGGGAUGACGGCCUUCGGGUUGUAAACCGCCUUCGCCUGUGACGAGGCGUGAGUGACGGUAAUGGGUAAAGAAGCACCGGCUAACUACGUG
rnacentral:rRNA from 1 species